GCUGGGCAUGGUGGCGCGUGCCUGUAAUCCCAGCUACUCGGGAGGCUGAGGUGGGAGAAUCGCCUGAACCCAGGAGGCGGAGGUUGCGGUGAGCCGAGAUUGCGCCGAGCCGAGAUCGCGCCAUUGCACUCCAGCCUGGGUAACAAGAGUGAGACUCCGUCUCAA
ensembl:misc_RNA Metazoa_SRP Metazoan signal recognition particle RNA